CCAACAGAGACCAACCAAAGCCAAGUUGCUGGAAAGGGACUCUGAGUGGCCAGUUUGGGUCAUGUGACUCCAUUGCCCACGGGAGCAGUCUCUCUGAGAAGAAACAGUGUCAGAGCAGGUGGAUAAGCAACAUUCCUGCCUCAGUCAUAGGCCCCAGUGUUCUCCACUGUCCGUCAGUAAGCCAGGCUUGCUUGUCCUGCACAUCUCACUGACACCAACAGUGGAAGUGCUGAUUUCUUCCUGCUGGCAGAAGCCCAGAUGCACCAGUGAUGCGAUGUACAGAAAUGAUUUUUCCAAUGACUGUGCCAAUGUAACUGCGGCCAAACCACCCCAGGGACCAACGGGAGCUGGUGAUGACUGUGCCAUGUUCGGGAGGUCACAUGAGGCCAGCAGAGGAUGGAAGAGACCAGCAAAAAGUAAGAUGCUAUACUAAGGUGUACAAAAAUUCUACUUCAUUGAAGAUACAAAGAUGCAUAAGAGAGAUCCCCUCUCCAAGGAACCUGAAGUCUAGAGGAGGAAACAGAUGGAUAACCCCUAGCAAUGCCACGUGGUCAGGAAGGAACUAAGCAGGAAGACCAUGUCCUGUCUUGUCCACUUAGCAGCUGUGUACCUGGAGGAGCUCUUACUCCUCAACAUUGUUGCAGGAGUCAAACAGACUCAGGUACGUAAAGCCCUAGAUUGGUAAACACACACAAAUGUCAGUCCUUCUGCUGAAUCACCU